GUGUUGUUGGGGUGUGGUUCCUGCAGAGAAGGCUGGGGGCCUGAGGACUCAGGCCACAGGUGUCAGGACUGGCCGUUCCGCAGGGCUGCGUCCACAACAAUCCUGCCAAACCGGCUGGGAACCUGUCUUGCUGGGUGCAAGGCCUCUGGGACCUCAGUCCACCCACGUGGGGGCGGGUGGUGUCAGACAAGAGGCCCAAAGAGGCCUUCCCCGUCCUGCCCCCCCACCCCAGACAGAGCCCACUCCCUCUGCCCGGGAGCCAUGCCCUGGGAUGGUCCUUGGCUCUGCAGCAAACCCCGAUGGACUCCGGAGUUUGUUAGUUACCUCUGAACCUGCCCCGGGUACUGGACGCCAGCCUGGGACCCAGGGCACAGCGAUGGGCAGUGGGGGUCGGGCCUGCCCCCAUGGGCUCCCAGGGAAGCCGGGCUCCGAGCAGGUGUUCUGUCCCUUCUCAAAGCCUCGAGGGGACAGAUGGGCAGCUCUGUGGGCCAAGGACAGAGGAGCAGCAGCUGUUACCUCCCUUCAAGGACCCGGAAGCAUUCGCUACCUCUUCCGGCAGCGGCAGAGGUUUAAAUAUAUCACUCAGUCUGAUCCCCGGCCCGGGAACGCCACAUGCCGUGGGGAGGCCAAAAUACUUAAGAAAAUAAAAAAUAUUGAUUAGCAUUAAAAAUUCAUGAAACCUGGAGUUCCCAUCGUGGCGCAGUGGUUAACGAAUCCGACUAGGAGCCAUGAGGAUGCGGGUUCGACCCCUGGCCUUGCUCAGUGGGUGAAGGAUCCGGCGUUGCCCUGAGCUGCGGUGUAGGUCGCAGACGCGGCUCGGAUCUGGCGUGGCUGUGGCUGUGGUGCAGGCCGGCAGCAACAGCUGCAGUUCGACCCUGGGAGCUACAGCUCCGAUUACACCCUAGCCUGGGAACCUCCCUGGGCCGCAGUGUGGCCCUCAAAAGACCCACACACACGCACACUUUAGGAAACCUUUGGGACGUCAGGAACAUGUAAAGAAAUAUACCAGACAUUCACGUUCUCACCCCGCGCGUUCAUCGAAUGUGAACCUGAGGCCAUGUUCUGGGCCUUCUCUCUAAGAAAUGAGACCGCACAUCAAAGGGUGAGUGGAUCGGCACGACGUGGUCCACUUUGAGCACAGCUGCUCAGUGACACAAGCCCAUCCCCAAAGGCCAGGGGC
rnacentral:lncRNA from 1 species